AUGUAAGAACAGUCUCUUACAACAAAUACCUCAAACACCUGCAGUAUUUCCAUGAAAAUGAGCCACAUUUCUUUGUUGUAUGUGGACACGAUGGGUGCCAAAAAAGGUACAAAAGAGUGAGUUCUUUACGUGUCCAUGUUUUUCGGACUCAUAAAAUCGUGAGAGACGCAGAGGAUUCAGAGAACAAUCAGGAGAUUCCAGGCACCUCACCUACUUUUAAUGAUUUCGAGGAAACUUUUGAUUCUGAAGAACCAAAUAUCUCUUUUUCUGAAAAAAUAUGUGGUUUCAAAUCACUAAUUGAGAGACAUUUUGCAUUGUUUUGUUUAAAACUUCAAGAAAAGCACAUCCUCCCAAAAACUGUUCGGCAUACUAUUACUCAUGAAGUGAAAAUACUCAUUGAACUUUUUAAUGAACAGUCCCAGGACCUUCUAAAGUUCUGUUUAGAAGAAACAAAUAUCAAUAUUGACAAUCAUUCAAACUUGAAGUCUUUGGUUGAAGACAACCUUUUUGGGAAGUGUUUUGAUGUUAUUGCAUCAGACUUUCAGUUUGAGAGAUACUGUAUAAGAGAGUUUGGGUUAAUUGAACCAGUAGAGUAUUUACUCGGAUUUGACUCAACAGGAAGAAAAGAGACUUUCCAGUAUAUUCCCAUUUUGGAAGUUUUAAAAAAUAUUCUGAAAAGAGAUGAUGUUUUUCAUUAUGUUGUGAAAGACACAGUUUUUGAUGGAGAUACACUUAAAGACUUCACAGAUGGAUUAAUUUUUUGAUGGAUCUGAGACACAGCUGAGGCUCCAGUUAUAUACUGAUGAAUUUGAAAUUGUAAAUUGUUUAGGAUCCAAAAGGCAGAUCCACAAAAUUUUAAGUGUCUACUUUGUUCUUGGAAAUAUUCCUCUGAAGUAUCGUUCCAGUCUUCAAAAUAUACAUGUGGCUGUACUUGUCAGAAACCGAUUGCUUCAGAAGUAUAGUUACGAGCAAAUUUUGGAUCCUCUUCUUCGUGACCUUUGUGAACUUCAGUGCCGUGGUGUAUCAGUUGACAUUGAUGACAAGUCCUGUGUUUUCAAAGGCUCCGUGAUUUCCAUUUGUGCUGACAAUUUAUCAGCCCAUUCCUUGGCUGGUUUCAAUACUUGCUUUAGUCAAGGACGGAUCUGUCGUUUCUGUCUGUGUCACCACCGUGACAUUGGUAACAAAACUGAGGAAAGUGAGUGUAUUAUCCGGACUCCUGACACACACUGUAGACAUUUACAAGUGCCAGAUGGUAAAUCUUUGUAUGGUGUUACUGGACGCUGCCCUUUUGAUAAACUGCCUCAUUUUGAGGUUACUGAAUCCUUUCCGCCUGACUUGAUGCAUGAUAUUCUUGAAGGUGUCAUCCCACAGGUUCUGAAAUUAGUCUUGCUAAAUCUUACCCGUGAAAGGCUGGUAACAGUGCAACAGUUUAAUGACCAGCUACAACAGUUCCCCUUUGGACAAAACGAUAUAACUCACAGGCCUGUUUUGCUGAAGCCAUCUGCUCUGCAGCAAGGUGCCAUCCCAGGAAAAGCUGUUGAAAAACUGACCCUUUUCCGACUCUUACCUUUUUUAAUUGGAACCUCCAUCCCUAAGGACAACGCUUACUGGGCUCUUUAUUUGCUAUUAAGAUCUAUAUGUGACAUAGUACUGGCACCUGUGAUCAAAACAAGUUGGUUGAGUCCAUUGUCUACUCUCAUCACAGAAUUUCUGAAGAAUUUUCAGAAGCUUUUCCCUGACAAAUUCACUCCAAAGAUUCACUUUCUGGUUCACUAUCCUCGACUUAUCAAACAGCAUGGUCCACUGAGAGCACAUUGGUGUCUAAGGUAUGAGGCCAAACACCUGUACUUUAAACGCCUUUCAUCAAUUGUAAACAAUUACCAGAAUAUUGCAAAGACUUUGGCAAAGCGCUAUCAAAUGCGCCAGUGUUGGGAAGCACAAUCAACUGGACACCAUGUCUCGGAAGAUGUCCCGUACUCUUUAAUAGAGAUACGUUUGAAUGCACUACCCUCUCAGCUUAGAGAGAUUAUUGCAGAGGACUCUGCUGAACUGAAUGAGACACUCUGGAAAACCAAACAAGUGAUAUAUGACAGAGUCAAAUACACCACUGGAGACUUCUUGAUCCUUGACCUUGUGCAUGCUGAGGAAAUCCCAGUUUUUUUGAAAGUUCUACAUAUUGUUAAGUACCACAGCCAGUGGAAAUUGUGCGGAAGACUCUACCAAACUUGGUGCUUCUCUGAGCAUCUGCAUGCCUAUGGUGUCCGAUCAACAACUCAGUGGGUGGCCAUUACACCUGGGGAGGAAACUGACUUCCAUGCCCUUGACGCAUACACAGAUCAAGAGGACAACCUGUUCAUCACACUGCUUCAUCGCCCUAACAUGAGAUAGAUGGAGCCACUCUUGCUGUUAUCUCAGAGAGGAUGUCUGAGAGGCUCAUUCCGGUCAUUCGCAAACAGAGUCUGUUUCUGACCCAGUUGGAGAAACUUAAAAGCACACCAAUGAGCAGGGAGAACCCCCCAAGAAACAAUGAUAACUCCAGCCAAGCACAGUCCGGUCCAGAUACCUCUUUAGUUUUUCCAACAGUGCUGAGGAUGGCCAUAGACAGAAGAGAUUCUGAUCUGAAGAGUGCAAGUAAAACAAAACUACGGAGUCUACUAAUCCAGUCUCUUUUUGACCACCUCAGUAAGAAAACAAUGUACCCAACUCAUCUUCAAUACAUUGAGCUUCUGUCAAAUGUGAUAAUGGAUUACCCAUAUCUAAGGGAAAGUAUCGGGUCUGGAUAUGUAAGUUUUCAAUUGUAUGUAAUGUUAUUCAAAAUGAGUUCAUAGUUUUACAAAUGAAUAAUAAUAAUUAGAAAUGAAAUAUUGGGGAUACCAGUUUUUUGUCAAGAAUACACUUUCUAACCAAGUAGGUCCAUUUGGUAUUUUAUUUC